AUGCUUUCUGCUGCUCACUCAGUUCUUGUGAUCCUCUUAAUAUUCAGAGGGACCAACGGAGACUCAGUGAACCAGACAGAAGGCCCAGUGACGCUCUCAGAGGGGGCUUUUAUGAUCUUGAACUGCAAUUACCAGGCCACUUAUUCAGAUCCCUAUCUUUUCUGGUAUGUCCAGUAUCUCAACAAAGCUCCUCAACUUCUCCUGAAAAGCUUGAAGGCAAACAAGACGGAAGAGUAUCAAGGUUUUCAGGCCACUCUUGUUAAGACUGACAGCUCCUUCCAUCUGCGGAAACCCUCAGUGCAAACAUCAGACUCGGCUGUGUACUACUGUGCUGUGAGGGACACAGUGAGAGGGGCAGCAGGGGGAGCUGAACGCAAACCCAAGGGGAGCAGGAGGGCUGAAGUGAGCAGCCUUGGGAGGAAGAAGUAUUGUCUCUCCUUGGGCAGGGUUUAG